ACGAGACCUUCGGGUCUAGUGGCGCACGGGUGCGUAACGCGUGGGAAUCUGCCCUUAGGUACGGAAUAACUCAGAGAAAUUUGUGCUAAUACCGUAUGAUGUCGAAAGACCAAAGAUUUAUCGCCUAAGGAUGAGCCCGCGUAAGAUUAGCUUGUUGGUGAGGUAAAAGCUCACCAAGGCGACGAUCUUUAGCUGGUCUGAGAGGAUGAUCAGCCACACUGGGACUGAGACACGGCCCAGACUCCUACGGGAGGCAGCAGUGGGGAAUAUUGGACAAUGGGCGAGAGCCUGAUCCAGCAAUGCCGCGUGAGUGAUGAAGGCCUUAGGGUUGUAAAGCUCUUUUACCAGGGAUGAUAAUGACAGUACCUGGAGAAUAAGCUCCGGCUAACUCCGUGCCAGCAGCCGCGGUAAUACGGAGGGAGCUAGCGUUGUUCGGAAUUACUGGGCGUAAAGAGUACGUAGGCGGUUAUUCAAGUCAGAGGUGAAAGCCUGGAGCUCAACUCCAGAACUGCCUUUGAAACUAGAUAGCUAGAAUCUUGGAGAGGUGAGUGGAAUUCCGAGUGUAGAGGUGAAAUUCGUAGAUAUUCGGAAGAACACCAGUGGCGAAGGCGACUCACUGGACAAGUAUUGACGCUGAGGUACGAAAGCGUGGGAGCAAACAGGAUUAGAUACCCUGGUAGUCCACGCCGUAAACGAUGAUAACUAGCUGUUCGGGCUCUACGAGCUUGAGUGGCGCAGCUAACGCAUUAAGUUAUCCGCCUGGGGAGUACGGUCGCAAGAUUAAAACUCAAAGGAAUUGACGGGGGCCUGCACAAGCGGUGGAGCAUGUGGUUUAAUUCGAAGCAACGCGCAGAACCUUACCAGCGUUUGACAUCCNAAUCGCGGUUUUCAGAGAUGAUUACCUUCAGUUCGGCUGGNNUANUGACAGGUGCUGCAUGGNUG
rnacentral:rRNA from 1 species